AUAGGCCUUCUCUAAAGGCCGAAAAGGGGGAGAGAGAGCGCGAUGGCGGAGGUGAGGGCGAAGGCGAACAAGAAGGUUGUGUUGAAGGACUUCAUAACGGCGGGUUUCCCCAAGGAGAGCGACAUGGAGGUCGUGACGACGGACACCGUCCGAUUGAAGGUCCCCGAGGGAUCGAAGGCGGUGCUGCUCGAGAACCUGUACCUCUCCUGCGACCCUUAUAUGCGGUCGCGUAUGAGCAAGCACGACGAGCCCUCCUACGUCCCCGACUUCGUCCCUGGCUCGGUCAUAUCUGGGUAUGGUGUGGGUAAAGUGGUGGAUUCUAGCCAUCCAGAUUUCAAGAUAGGUGACUUUGUGUGGGGCAUGACUGGAUGGGAAGAGUAUAGCCUCAUCACAGAAACAGAGAGGCUUUUCAAGAUCAGAUACACUGAUGUACCCCUUUCCUAUUACACUGGCCUUCUUGGCAUGGCAGGGUUCACAGCUUAUGUGGGAUUUCAUGAAAUCUGCUCGCCAAAGAAAGGGGAAUAUGUCUUUGUGUCCGCUGCAUCCGGUGCUGUUGGACAGCUUGUUGGGCAGCUUGCCAAAUUAAUGGGCUGUUACGUGGUUGGAAGUGCUGGCUCUGAUGACAAGGUCAACUUAUUGAAGAACAAGUUUGGUUUUGAUGAGGCUUUUAAUUAUAAGAAGGAGCCAGACUUGAGUGCAGCUUUAAAGAGGCCCAUGAUCUAGUUAUUGUCGUUCAGAGAACAUGGAGUUGCCUUCAAAUUAUUUGGACUGUCAUAUACCCAGGUUGUUUCCCAAAGGUAUCGACAUCUACUUCGAGAAUGUUGGUGGUCCGAUGCUGGAUGCUGUUCUUAUCAACAUGAGGACCCAUGGUCGGAUUGCGGUGUGUGGAAUGAUUUCUCAAUACAACCUCGAGAAACCUGAGGGUGUGCACAACUUAUUUUACCUCAUCACAAAGCGCAUCAGAAUGGAAGGGUUCCUGGUUGGCGAUUUUUUUCAUAAAUAUCAUCAGUUUGAGGAGAUUAUUGCCCAGUAUAUGAAGGAUGGGAAGAUCACUUAUGUGGAGGAUAAAGCUGAAGGACUUGAGAAUGCUCCUGCAGCACUGGUGGGGCUCUUUGCAGGCCGCAAUGUUGGUAAACAGUUGGUUGUAGUUUCUCAUGAAUGAACAAUCAUGUCAGCAUCAGACUACUUCAAUCUUUUGGUAAAUAACCAUUUGUUCCUUUUGAGUAGAUUACAUAAUCAUGUUGGUUGUACUUUCUCAUGAAUGAACAAUUAUGUCAGCAUCAGACCACUUCAAUCUUUUGGAAAAUAACCAUCUGCUUCCUUCCAGUUGAUCACAUAAUCAUGUCCAUAGAGCUCUUAUGGUCAUCUGUAUCUAUGGAAGUCUGAGGUUGUUUGUGCCUUAAUAAAGGACUUUGAACUUCAUAUA